rnacentral:lncRNA from 1 species
AAAGAGUGAUCAGAAAGUCCUCGAGGUUACCUGUGAGAGAUCAAACUGUGAGAACCAACCAUGGCUCGGUCAAGUUUCUUAUGGACUCGAAGAGUAGAUUGGUUAUUCCACCAAGUAUACAAAGGCCCAGUUGCACGAAUAUCCUCCAAACCAAUGUCAGUGGUGCAGUCUUCGAAAUCUUCUUUCCCAACAUCGCAGCAAGCAUUAGGUUGGUUAGUCUC